rnacentral:rRNA from 1 species
CGGUGGGUAACCUGCCUCAUACAGGGGGAUAGCAGCUGGAAACGGCUGAUAAAACCGCAUAAGCGCACAGCAUCGCAUGAUGCAGUGUGAAAAACUCCGGUGGUAUGAGAUGGACCCGCGUCUGAUUAGCUAGUUGGUGAGGUAACGGCCCACCAAGGCGACGAUCAGUAGCCGGACUGAGAGGUUGGCCGGCCACAUUGGGACUGAGACACGGCCCAG